rnacentral:misc_RNA from 1 species
AAGUCGUAACAAGGUCUCCGUAGGUGAACCUGCGGAGGGAUCAUUAACACUAUUUGGUUCUGAGAGAGCAAUCUCUUGGUUCUAAAGGUUCUAAAUUAAAAACCAACCACACUACGUGAACUCGGUUCUGCUUGCAGAGCCAAUCUCUCCCUUUGAAAUGGAAAGGCUUGGAUCCGAUGUGCAGUGGGGGUAUAGCACCCCAUCUGUCCAAGCUACAGAGCUCGCAAGAGACUUUGAACUUUCACUUUCUUAGGCAAUCUUUAAAAAUGUAGCCGCUGCAGCAUUUGCCCAACACCCACUAUUGUUUAACCACAAUUUUCACCCCUUCGUACUCCAAUUGACUGAUUAUGUUGAAUCUAACCGAAAGGUUCUAUUCUUCACUAAGAUUUUCUAAUCUAAGCACAACUCUUAGCAACGGAUAUCUUGGUUCUC